GACGAACGCUGGCGGCGUGCUUAACACAUGCAAGUCGAACGGAAAGGCCUUUUCGGAGGUACUCGAGUGGCGAACGGGCGAGUAACACGUGGGUGAUCUGCCCUGCACUCUGGGAUAAGCCUGGGAAACUGGGUCUAAUACCGGAUAGGACCGCACUCUAGUGUGUGUGGUGGAAAGUUUUUUCGGUGUAGGAUGAGCCCGCGGCCUAUCAGCUUGUUGGUGGGGUAAUGGGCUACCAAGGCGGCGACGGGUAGCCGGACUGAGAGGUUGGUCGGCCACAUUGGGGCUGGGAUACGGCCCAGACUCCUACGGGGGGCAGCAGUGGGGAAUAUUGGACAAUGGGCGCAAGCCUGGUGCAGCGACGCCGCGGGGGGGAUGACGGCCUUCGGGUUGUAAACUCCUUUCGCCAGGGACGAAGCGUUUUGUGACGGUACCUGGAGAAGAAGCACCGGCUAACUACGUG
rnacentral:rRNA from 1 species